UAGGCAAAUAAAAUAUAUGAAAUUUUAGGGUUGAAUUGAAUCAGAUUGAGCUCAUGCUAUAUACAUACAUACAGUCCUGAUUCUCUUCCGAGGUUACAGACGGGGUUUGGAUCAUCCCAACUUCACCAGCGAGAGACCUCAAACCCUAAAAAACCAAAAUGCCUAAGCAAAUCCAUGAGAUCAAGGACUUCCUUCUAACUGCCAGAAGGAAGGAUGCACGUUCUGUGAAAAUCAAGAGGAGCAAAGAUGUUGUCAAGUUCAAGGUUCGUUGUGCCAGGUACCUCUACACACUUUGUGUGUUUGAUUCUGAGAAGGCUGACAAGUUGAAGCAAUCCCUUCCUCCAGGUUUGAGCGUGCAAGACCUGUGAAGCAAGCUCUGAGACAGAGAGUGUUGAAAGAGCACCAAUUGGAGGUCCUUUUGUUGAGUUGUGCUUUUCAUUUAAAAAAAAAUUAAAUAUUGUAAUGGCUUUGAAUUUUCAUGUUUCCUAAACUUGGAGGCUGUAGUUGUGGUCCUAUUUGACCAGUUCUGAACUUGUAGACUUGGUUGUAGUCUUAUUUAAUUGUGGAGUUUCUUUAUGUC